UCUCUAGUUUCCUGCAUUUGUACCCUCCUCGUCUCAUGAUUUCUGGUCUUGGUAGCAUAUUUGUGUGUGGAUGAUUUCCUACCUUUACUAUAUGUAUGUCUUUACCAGUGAGCCCUGUCAUUUGUAAUUUUUUUUUCUUUUGCCUUUUUGCCUUUUCUAGGGCUGCUCCCGCAGCAUAUGGAGGUUCUCAAGCUAGGGGUCUAAUUGGAGCUGUAGCCACCGGCCUACACCAGAGCCACAGCAAUGAGGGAUCUAAGCCGCCUCUGUGAUCUGCACUACAGUUCAUGGCAAUGCCGGGUCCUUAACCCACUGAGCAAGGGCAGGGAUCAAACCCGCAACCUCAUGGUUCCUAGUCGGAUUCAUUAACCACUUCGCCACGACGGGAACUCCCUGUAAUAUUUUUGUUUCUAGUUGUGGUCUUUCCUUUUCCACUUAGAGAAGUUCCAUUAGUAUUUAUUGUAAAGCUGGUUCAGUGGUGCUGAAUUCUCUUAGUUUUUGCUUAUUUGUAAAGCUUUUGAUUUCUCCUUCCAAUCUGAAUGAGAUCCUUGCUGGGUAGAGUAAUCUCGGUUGAAGGUUUUUUCCUUUCAUCACUUUAAUUAUAUUAUGCCACCCCCUUCUGGCCUGUAGAGUUUCUGCUGAAAAAAAUCAGCUGAUAACAUUAUCUGGGUUCUCUUGGUUUUUUUUUGUUUGUUUGUUUGUUUUUGUUUUCUCCUAGCUGCUUUCAGUAUUUUCUCUUGUCUUUAAUUUUGGUCAGUUUGAUUAAUAGGUGUUCCUCCUUGGGCUAUUUUCUGUGGUACUCUUUGUGCUUUCUGGAUUUGAGUGAGUGAUUGCUUUCCCAUGUUAGGGAAGUUUUCAACUAUUAUCUCUUCAAAUAUUUUCUCUGGCCCUUUCUUUCUCUCUUCUCCUUCUGGCACCCCUAUAAUACGGAUGUUGGUGUGUUUAAUGCCAUCCUAGAGUUCUCUUAGACUGUUUUAAUUUUCAUUUUCAAUAUUUUUUCUUUUCUGUUCAGCAUCAGUGAUUUCCAAUGGUCUCUCUUCCACCUCACUUAUUCAUUCUUCUGCAUCCUAUAUUCUGCUGUUAGUUCCUUCUAGUGAAUUUUUUGUUAUUGUAUUUUGCAUUUCUGCUUGCUUAAAUUUUUAAAUCUGCUUGCUUAAAUUUUUAAAUCUUCUAUUUCUUUGCUCGAUGUUUCUUGUAAUUUAUUAAUCUUUGCCUCUAGUUUAUUUCUGAGAUCUUGAAUCAUCUUUACUAUCAUUAGUCUAAAGUCUUUCUCAUGGAAGUUGGUAAUCUCCAGAUCACCUAGCUGUUUUUCUGGGUUUUUCUUAUUCCCUUAUCUGAGUCAUAAUUCUUUGCCUUUUCAUUUUGUAUAGAUUUUUGAUGUGGUCUCCUUUUUGCAUACAAUAGGGUUGUAGCCUCUCUUGCUUCUGAUGUCUGUACCCCUUGUGUCAGAAGUUGGUAAUGGGGCUUGGUGUGGGCUUCAUGAUGGGAGAGCCUGGUGCCUCCCCACUAGUAAGUGGAGCUGAUUCUUAUCCCUCUAGUGGGUGUGGAUUUGUCUCUGGGCAUAAUUAGAGGUGGUUGUGUGCGUGGUGGGUCUUUAGGCAGGCUUUUUGCUGAUGAGUGUGUCUGUGUCCCCACCCUCUUUGUUGUUUGUCCUGGGGCUUCUUAGCCCUGAUGGGUGGGCCAGCUUUUUCCAAAAUGCCCACCUCCAGAGGAGUUCAUGCUGAUGAUUUUUCCCAAGACCUUGACCUCCAAUAUCCUUCCCCCACAAUGAGCCAUAGUCACUGUUUUCCCAGGAGAGCCUCCAAGAACUGCAGACAGGUCUGACCCAGACUCCUAUGGAGUCUAUGCUUUGCUGUAAGGCCCACUGCACAUGAAAGCUUGUAUGUGUCUUUCAAGAGUUGAAUCUCCAUUUUUCCAGUCCUGUGAAGCUCCUGUGCAAAAGCCCCACUGGUGCUCAAUGCCAAAUGCUCUGGGGGCUCCUCCUCCCAAUGCUAGAUCCUCAGGCAUGGGCAUCUGACAUGGGGCUUGGAACUCUCCUGUGGGUGAGUCUCUGUGAUACAGUUACUUUCCACUCUAUGGGCCACCCACCCAGCGGGUAUGGGGUUGCUUAUAUCAGGUAAUUAAUUGCCCCUCCUACCUUCUUGAUGUGGCCUCCUCUUUGUCUUCUGUAGUAGGAUAUCUUUUUUGAUAGUUUCCAGUCUAUUUUGUUGAAAGUUGUUUAGCAGUUGGUUGUAAUUUUGUUGCUUUUAUGAGAGAAGAUGAGUUCCAGUUAUUCUACUCUGCCAUCUUGAUCCUGUCCUCCUGGUACUUUGAAUAAAGAGAGCAAGCUUUCAUCAGACUUUUGUCUGUAUCUGUUUUUUUUUAAAUUAUUAAUUUGUAUCAGUAUGUAGAUGACUUACAAUGAUACAUUAGUUUCAGGUGUACAGCAGUGUAAUUCAGUUAUACAAUACAUAUCUAUUCUUUUUCAGAUUCUUUUCCUAUAUAGGUUAUUCUCUUUAAUAUAUAAUAAUUAUCAAUUUUAUAAUUAUCUUGUUAAUUAUCUAUUUUAUAUAUGGUAGUGUAUAUAUGUUAAUCCCAAACUCCUAAUUUAUCCCUCCCAUAUUUCCUGUUUGGUAAUCAUAGAUUUAUUUUAUAUGCUUGUGAGCUACCCCUGUGGUGCAGUGGGUUAAGAAUCCGACUGCAACAGCUUGGGUUACUGUGGAGGUGCAGGUUCAAUAUCUGGACUAGCACAAUUGGUUAAAGGACCUGUUGUUUCCACAGCUGUGGUAUAGGUCACAUUUGCAGCUCAGAUUCCAUCAUUGGCUGAGGAACUUCCAUAUGCCAUGAGUGUUGCCAUAAAAAAAAUUCAAUUGUAUACAUAUACCACAUCUUCCUCAUCUAUUUCUCUGUCAAUGGGCAUUUAGGUUGUUCCCAUGUCUUAACUGUUAUGUAUAGUACAGCAAUGAACACUGGGAUCCAUGUAUAUUUUUGAAAUAUGAUUUUAUUCAGAUAUAUGCACCCCAGUGGUCAUUGCAGCACUAUUUACAAUAGCCAAGACAUGGAAGCAACCAAAAGUCCAUCCAAAAAAGAAUACAUAAUGAAGAUGUGGUACAUACAUACAAUGAAAUUCUACUCAGCCAUAAAAAAGAAUGAAAUAAUGCUAUUUUCCACAGCAUGGAUGGACUUUUUCUUUCUUUCUUUCUUUCUUUCUUUUUUUUUUU
rnacentral:lncRNA from 1 species